GCACCACUGGAUAGCUCAGCUGGUUAGAGCAGGGUGCUGCUAACGCCAAGGUUGCAGGUUCGAUCCCUGUAUGGGGCA